AGCCUAACACAUGCAAGUCGAACGGUAGCACAGAGAGCUUGCUCUCGGGUGACGAGUGGCGGACGGGUGAGUAAUGUCUGGGAAACUGCCUGAUGGAGGGGGAUAACUACUGGAAACGGUAGCUAAUACCGCAUAAUGUCUUCGGACCAAAGUGGGGGACCUUCGGGCCUCAUGCCAUCAGAUGUGCCCAGAUGGGAUUAGCUAGUAGGUGGGGUAAUGGCUCACCUAGGCGACGAUCCCUAGCUGGUCUGAGAGGAUGACCAGCCACACUGGAACUGAGACACGGUCCAGACUCCUACGGGAGGCAGCAGUGGGGAAUAUUGCACAAUGGGCGCAAGCCUGAUGCAGCCAUGCCGCGUGUAUGAAGAAGGCCUUCGGAGUUGUAAAGUACUUUCAGCGAGGAGGAAGGCGGUAAGGUUAAUAAC
rnacentral:rRNA from 1 species